rnacentral:misc_RNA from 1 species
GAAAUGCGAUGAGUAAUGUGAAUUGCAGAAUUCAGUGAAUCAUCGAAUCUUUGAACGCACCUUGCGCUCCUUGGUAUUCCUUGGAGCAUGCCUGUUUGAGUAUCAUGAAAUCUUCAAAGUAAAUCUUUUGUUAACUCAAUUGGUUUCUACUUUGGUAUUGGAGGUCUUUGCAGCUUCACACCUGCUCCUCUUUGUUCAUUAGCUGGAUCUCAGUGUUAUGCUUGGUUCCACUCGGCGUGAUAAGUUAUCUAUCGCUGAGGACACUGUAAAAGGUGGCCAAGGUAAAUGCAGAUGAACCGCUUCUAAUAGUCCACUGACUUGGACAAUACUUUUAUGAUCUGAUCUCAAAUCAGGUAGGACUACCCGCUGAACUUAAGC